UACGGAGGGUGCGAGCGUUAAUCGGAAUUACUGGGCGUAAAGCGCGCGUAGGCGGUCAGAUAAGUCGGAUGUGAAAGCCCCGAGCUCAACUUGGGAAUUGCAUUCGAUACUGCCUGACUGGAGUAUGGUAGAGGGAAGCGGAAUUCCGGGUGUAGCGGUGAAAUGCGUAGAUAUCCGGAGGAACACCAGUGGCGAAGGCGGCUUCCUGGACUGAUACUGACGCUGAGGUGCGAAAGCGUGGGGAGCAAACAGG
rnacentral:rRNA from 1 species